rnacentral:rRNA from 1 species
GCAAAGGUAGCAUAAUAAUUUGCCCCUUAAUUAGGGGCUGGAAUGAAUGGGCCAACUCCUCUCAACUGUCUCAAGUAUUCAACUGAAAACUUAUACCUAAGUGAAAAAUCUUAGAUUUCCAAGAAGGACCAAAAGACCCUAUAGCGCUUUAGGUGAACUAAAUACCCAAUUCUAGUAAACCUUUAAUUGGGGCGAUAAGAGAUCUAAACCAUCUCUAAAUUUCAUUAUAAACCGAUUAAAUAGUAACCUAACACUAAACAAGAUAAAGCAACCUUAGGGAUAACAGUCUUAUUUUUCUUUAUAGUCCACAUUAACAGAAAAGCUUGGCAC